GAACUAUCGGAACGCGAGCUAUUUGUCAUUUCCUUCGUGGUUCUCCCGAGAUUGGGCCUUGCCUUUAGCUGUUCGUCGUUAGCAUUGCUAAGCGCUCGGAGUUCUAGUCAUUCUUGCGUUGACAAACUCGAAACAGUUGCCUUAAUAUACCUCGUGUUGAAGAUAUUUGACAUUUAAACUGUUAAAAGAUGAGCGGUAAGUCUAAAAUUUCGCGACUUUUAUAGUACAAAGGAAAUAUUUGAAGAUCGUAUGUUGACAUGUAUUUUUCUUGCUUGUAGAUCGACGGGCAAAACGUGGUGGUGAUGAUGAUG